UAGGGAAUCUUCGGCAAUGGGGGGAACCCUGACCGAGCAACGCCGCGUGAGUGAAGAAGGUUUUCGGAUCAUAAAACUCUGUUGUUAGAGAAGAACAGCGCAUAGAGUAACUGUUAUGCGUGUGACGGUAUCUAACCAGAAAGCCACGGCUAACUACGUGCCAGCAGCCGCGGUAAUACGUAGGUGGCAAGCGUUGUCCGGAUUUAUUGGGCGUAAAGCGAGCGCAGGCGGUUAGAUAAGUCUGAAGUUAAAGGCAGUGGCUCAACCAUUGUAGGCUUUGGAAACUGUUUAACUUGAGUGCAGAAGGGGAGAGUGGAAUUCCAUGUGUAGCGGUGAAAUGCGUAGAUAUAUGGAGGAACACCGGUGGCGAAAGCGGCUCUCUGGUCUGUAACUGACGCUGAGGCUCGAAAGCGUGGGGAGCGAACAGG
rnacentral:rRNA from 1 species